CGCUAGCUACAGGCUUAACACAUGCAAGUCGAGGGGCAUCAGGAAGAAAGCUUGCUUUCUUUGCUGGCGACCGGCGCACGGGUGAGUAACACGUAUCCAACCUGCCCUUUACUCGGGGAUAGCCUUUCGAAAGAAAGAUUAAUACCCGAUAGCAUAAUGAUUCCGCAUGGUUUCAUUAUUAAAGGAUUCCGGUAAAGGAUGGGGAUGCGUUCCAUUAGGUUGUUGGUGAGGUAACGGCCCACCAAGCCUUCGAUGGAUAGGGGUUCUGAGAGGAAGGUCCCCCACAUUGGAACUGAGACACGGUCCAAACUCCUACGGGAGGCAGCAGUGAGGAAUAUUGGUCAAUGGGCGCUAGCCUGAACCAGCCAAGUAGCGUGAAGGAUGAAGGCUCUAUGGGUCGUAAACUUCUUUUAUAUAAGAAUAAAGUGCAGUAUGUAUACUGUUUUGUAUGUAUUAUAUGAAUAAGGAUCGGCUAACUCCGUGCCAGCAGCCGCGGUAAUACGGAGGAUCCGAGCGUUAUCCGGAUUUAUUGGGUUUAAAGGGAGCGUAGGUGGACUGGUAAGUCAGUUGUGAAAGUUUGCGGCUCAACCGUAAAAUUGCAGUUGAUACUGUCAGUCUUGAGUACAGUAGAGGUGGGCGGAAUUCGUGGUGUAGCGGUGAAAUGCUUAGAUAUCACGAAGAACUCCGAUUGCGAAGGCAGCUCACUGGACUGCAACUGACACUGAUGCUCGAAAGUGUGGGUAUCAAACAGGAUUAGAUACCCUGGUAGUCCACACAGUAAACGAUGAAUACUCGCUGUUUGCGAUAUACAGUAAGCGGCCAAGCGAAAGCAUUAAGUAUUCCACCUGGGGAGUACGCCGGCAACGGUGAAACUCAAAGGAAUUGACGGGGGCCCGCACAAGCGGAGGAACAUGUGGUUUAAUUCGAUGAUACGCGAGGAACCUUACCCGGGCUUAAAUUGCAGUGGAAUGAUGUGGAAACAUGUCAGUGAGCAAUCACCGCUGUGAAGGUGCUGCAUGGUUGUCGUCAGCUCGUGCCGUGAGGUGUCGGCUUAAGUGCCAUAACGAGCGCAACCCUUAUCUUUAGUUACUAACAGGUUAUGCUGAGGACUCUAGAGAGACUGCCGUCGUAAGAUGUGAGGAAGGUGGGGAUGACGUCAAAUCAGCACGGCCCUUACGUCCGGGGCUACACACGUGUUACAAUGGGGGGUACAGAAGGCAGCUAGCGGGUGACCGUAUGCUAAUCCCAAAAUCCUCUCUCAGUUCGGAUCGAAGUCUGCAACCCGACUUCGUGAAGCUGGAUUCGCUAGUAAUCGCGCAUCAGCCACGGCGCGGUGAAUACGUUCCCGGGCCUUGUACACACCGCCCGUCAAGCCAUGGGAGCCGGGGGUACCUGAAGUACGUAACCGCAAGGAUCGUCCUAGGGUAAAACUGGUGACUGGGG
rnacentral:rRNA from 1 species